GGGAAAAGAUGGCGGCGGUGCUUGCGGCUGCGCUGUGAGAGCUGGCGGGGGCUGUGGCGAGGGCGAGGCUCUGGGUUCAUGUCCUUGAGCCCAGGCCCUGAGGUGAGCCUGAGAACUGGCCUGGAGGUGACCCCAGAGCUGUCCCUGAAGUGACCCUGAGAAUAACUGCGAGUCAGAGGUGCUGCUGAGGAAGGAGAGCCCCGUGGUGGGGAAGAGACAAAGCUGUGUUUGCCCAUCCCCAAGAAGGUGCUGUGUCCAUCCCCUGUGUGCCAGCAGGAUUUCUCCUUCCCAAAGCUUGGGUGGAUGGAGGAGGAGGCUGCGAGGAAGAGGAAGAUGCCCCGGGACCCCCAGGCAGGUGAGGAGGAAGUCAGUGCCCCUUUGCCCUGUCUUGUCCUGUAUCUCCCAGCUGAGCAUGGCCCCCGGCUGCAGGACAACCCCGCUGCCGCCGCCGUCCUGCCGGGGCCAGAGUUGGGGGGAUGUCCUUGGCCUUCCCUCUGGGCCGGAGGCAAAUCC